GAAAUGUUCUUUUGAAAUUUUGCAACGAGACGAUAUUAAUCCACGUUGCAAUGUCUCGUCGCAAAAUUCCACGAGGAAUCGUUCU